rnacentral:rRNA from 1 species
AUGAGGGAGAUCCUGCACAUCCAGGGCGGGCAGUGCGGGAACCAGAUCGGGUCCAAGUUCUGGGAGGUGGUGUGCGACGAGCACGGCAUCGACCCCACGGGGAGGUACGUCGGCACCUCCGACCUGCAGCUGGAGCGCGUCAACGUCUACUACAACGAGGCCUCGUGCGGCCGCUUCGUGCCGCGCGCCGUGCUCAUGGAUCUCGAGCCCGGCACCAUGGACUCCGUGCGCACGGGGCCCUACGGCCAGAUCUUCCGCCCCGACAACUUCGUCUUCGGCCAGUCCGGCGCCGGCAACAACUGGGCCAAGGGUCACUACACCGAGGGCGCGGAGCUCAUCGACUCCGUCCUCGACGUCGUCCGCAAGGAGGCCGAGAACUGCGACUGCCUCCAAGGCUUCCAGGUGUGCCACUCCCUCGGCGGGGGCACCGGUUCCGGCAUGGGCACGCUGCUGAUUUCCAAGAUCAGGGAGGAGUACCCGGACCGGAUGAUGCUCACCUUCUCCGUGUUCCCAUCCCCCAAGGUGUCUGACACCGUGGUCGAGCCCUACAACGCCACCCUCUCGGUUCACCAGCUGGUGGAGAACGCCGACGAGUGCAUGGUGCUGGACAACGAGGCGCUCUACGACAUCUGCUUCCGCACCCUCAAGCUGACCACACCUAGCUUUGGUGACCUGAACCACUUGAUCAGUGCCACCAUGAGCGGUGUCACCUGCUGCCUUCGCUUCCCAGGACAGCUGAACUCAGACCUCCGCAAGCUCGCCGUCAACCUGAUCCCCUUCCCGCGCCUCCACUUCUUCAUGGUGGGCUUUGCGCCGCUCACAUCUCGUGGGUCACAGAUGUACCGCUCCCUCACUGUCCCUGAGCUCACACAGCAGAUGUGGGACUCGAAGAACAUGAUGUGUGCUGCUGACCCGCGCCAUGGCCGCUACCUCACAGCCUCGGCCAUGUUCCGUGGCAAGAUGAGCACCAAGGAGGUUGACGAGCAGAUGAUCAACGUGCAGAACAAGAACUCCUCCUACUUCGUGGAGUGGAUCCCGAACAACGUCAAGUCAAGCGUGUGUGACAUCCCACCACGCGGCCUCUCCAUGGCGUCCACCUUCAUUGGCAACUCCACCUCCAUCCAGGAGAUGUUCAGGCGUGUGAGCGAGCAGUUCACGGCCAUGUUCAGGAGGAAGGCUUUCUUGCAUUGGUACACUGGCGAGGGGAUGGACGAGAUGGAGUUCACUGAGGCCGAGAGCAACAUGAACGACCUUGUCUCCGAGUACCAGCAGUACCAGGACGCCACUGCCGACGAGGAGGGCGAGUACGAGGAAGAGGAAGAGCUGGAGCAGGAGUAA